AGUGAACGCUGGCGAUAGGCCUAACACAUGCAAGUCGAACGGCAGCACAGUAAGAGCUUGCUCUUACGGGUGGCGAGUGGCGGGCGGGUGAGGAAUACAUCGGAAUCUACUUUUUCGUGGGGGAUAACGUAGGGAAACUUACGCUCAUACCGCAUACGACCUACGGGUGAAAGCAGGGGAUCUUCGGACCUUGCGCGAUUGAAUGAGCCGAUGUCGGAUUAGCUAGUUGGCGGGGUAAAGGCCCACCAAGGCGACGAUCCGUAGCUGGUCUGAGGGGAUGGUCAGCCACACUGGAACUGAGACACGGUCCAGACUCCUACGGGAGGCAGCAGUGGGGAAUAUUGGACAAUGGGCGCAAGCCUGAUCCAGCCAUACCGCGUGGGUGAAGAAGGCCUUCGGGUUGUAAAGCCCUUUUGUUGGGAAAGAAAAGCAGCAGGUUAAUACCCCGCUGUUCUGACGGUACCCAAAGAAUAAGCACCGGCUAACUUCGUG
rnacentral:rRNA from 1 species